rnacentral:misc_RNA from 1 species
GAUGAAGAACGUAGCGAAAUGCGAUAAGUAGUGUGAAUUGCAGAAUUCAGUGAAUCAUCGAAUCUUUGAACGCACAUUGCGCCCCUUGGUAUUCCAUGGGGCAUGCCUGUUCGAGCGUCAUUUGUACCUUCAUGCUUUGCUUGGUGUUGGGUGUUUGUCCAUUCUCUUGCAGAGGGACUCGCCUUAAAGUAAUUGGCAGCCAGUGUUUUGGUUUUGAAGCGCAGCACAAGUCGCGAUUCAAAGCUAUACGCCCGCUUCCACAAGCCUUUUUCACUUUUGACCUCGGAUCAGGUAGGGAUACCCGCUGAACUUAAGCAUAUCAAUAAGCGGAGGA